CUGGGUCUGCAGAGGGAAUGGACAUUUACUCAGAGACGUUGCUUUGCAUAUUUCCAGCCGAGUGACAGUUCCUGGCUGUUCUGAGCAGAUAUAAAUAUGUCACCUUUAUACUUUGUGCUUCUGAACUUGGUAUCUGUCACUCUACACAUAUCAAGAUGAUCUCCCAGACUCAAUUUCUCUGGCUUCUCAUGUUCUGGAUUCAGGACUCCAGUGGGCAGAUUGUGCUGACUCAGACUCCAGAAUCCCUCUCAGUGUCUCCAGGAGACAGAGUCACCAUCAACUGCAAAGCCAGUUCCAGUGCUUCUACAGGCAUGGCCUGGUACCAACAGAAAUCAGGACAAGCUCCUAAACUCCUUAUCCACAGCGCUUCCACCCGCCCCUCUGGGAUCCCAGACCGGUUCAGCGGCAGUGGAUCUGGCACUGAUUUCACAUUCACAAUCAGCAGAGUGGAAGCAGACGAUGCUGGCGAUUAUUAUUGUCAGCAGUAUGGGAGAACAAAUCUGAAGAUCUCUCACCAAUCAGACACAGAGAGACCCAGUAACCCAGUUCAUGGAAUGUCUAUCUGUAAUAAUACCCCAUGUAUUGAAGAUUGCUAUUAG